rnacentral:lncRNA from 1 species
CCCUCCUGUUUGUUUUGAUAUCUUGAAUUAGAUAGUAUUGGCCAAUGCGUCUACCCAUUGAGCAACCUGGCGUGAGUGGGAGCUAGGGCGUGUUUUGAUGAUGUUUGUGUAAGACAUGAAUGCCGUUUUUUCCUUUGCCCAAUGUUGUUGGAGGAGACGGGUCGUGGGGGCGGUUUGUAUGCGUCCGUUGGGCGGCUCGUAUAGGCAAGCACGACACCGGCGUAUUGAUGCAGACCGGACCGCGGGGGCGGUGUCUUGCGCGUGUGUGUUUAGCGGAUCGUAUAGGCGAGCACUUCACCAAUAUGUUGAUGUAGACCUGACCGCGGGGCGGUGUCCUACGCACGUCUGUUGGGCGGCUCAUAUAGGCGAGCAAUGCACCCACAUGUUGAUGUAGCCUGGACCGUAGGGGCGGCGUCUUGCGUGUGUUCCUUGGGCGGUUCGUAUAGGCGAGCACUACACCGGUAUGUUGAUGUAGACUGGACUGCAGGGGCGGCGUCUUGCGCGCGUCUAUUGGGCGGCUCGUAUAGGCGAGCACGACACUGGUAUGUUGAUGUAGACCGGACCAUGGGGACAGUGGCUUGCGCGCAUUCGUUGGGCAGCUCGUAUAAGCGAGCACUGCACCGGUAUGUUGAUGUAGACCUCGACCAUGGGGACGGCGCCUUGCGCGUGUCCGUAGGG